AGUUGUAAUUUGUAGAGGGUGUUUCGGGUGCGGCACCGUCCUAAGUUCCUUGGAACAGGGCGUCAUAGAGGGUGAGAAUCCCGUACGUGGCCGGUCGCCAACCCCGUGUGAAACCCCUUCGACGAGUCGAGUUGUUUGGGAAUGCAGCUCAAAAUGGGUGGUAAAUUCCAUCUAAAGCUAAAUACCGGCCAGAGACCGAUAGCGCACAAGUAGAGUGAUCGAAAGAUGAAAAGCACUUUGAAAAGAGAGUCAAACAGUAUGUGAAAUUGUUGAAAGGGAAGCGCUGGCGACCAGACGUGCCCGCGGGCGAUCACCUGGCCUUUGGGCCGGCGCACUCGCCCGUGAUCAGGCCAGCAUCGGUUUUGGCGGUGGGACAAAGGCGUCCGGGAAUGUAGCUCCCCUCGGGGAGUGUUAUAGCCCGUUCCGCAAUGCCACCCGCCGGGACCGAGGACCGCGCUUCGGCUAGGAUGCUGGCGUAAUGGUCGUCAGCGACCCGUCUUGAAACACGGACCAAGGAGUCUAACAUCUAUGCGAGUGUUUGGGUGUUAAACCCAUGCGCGGAAUGAAAGUGAACGGAGGUGGGAGCUUUCGGGCGCACCAUCGACCGAUCCUGAUGUCUUCGGAUGGAUUUGAGUAGGAGCAUAGCUGUUGGGACCCGAAAGAUGGUGAACUAUACGUGACUAGGGUGAAGCCAGAGGAAACUCUGGUGGAGGCUCGCAGCGGUUCUGACGUGCAAAUCGAUCGUCAAAGUGGCGUAUAGGGCGAAAGACUAAUCGAACCAUCUAGUAGCUGGUUCUUGCCGAAGUUUCCCUCAGGAUAGCAGUAAUGAAUUCAGUUUUAUGAGGUAAAGCGAAUGAUUAGAGUCCUUGGGGGCGUAAUGCCCUUAAACUAUUCUCAAACUUUAAAUAUGUAAGAAGUCCUUGUUACUUAGUUGAACGUGGACAUUUGAAUGUACCAUUACUAGUGGGCCAUUUUUG
rnacentral:rRNA from 1 species